GGGAAGGUGGCUCAGUGGUAGAGUGCUUGUCUUGCAUGCAUGAGGCCCUGGGUUCGAUUCCUCAACCCCA
rnacentral:tRNA from 1 species